rnacentral:rRNA from 1 species
UGACGGUACCUGCAGAAAAAGCGCCGGCUAACUACGUGCCAGCAGCCGCGGUAAUGCGUAGGGCGCAAGCGUUAUCCGGAAUUAUUGGGCGUAAAGAGCUCGUAGGCGGUUUGUCGCGUCUGCUGUGAAAUCCCGAGGCUCAACCUCGGGCCUGCAGUGGGUACGGGCAGACUAGAGUGCGGUAGGGGAGAUUGGAAUUCCUGGUGUAGCGGUGGAAUGCGCAGAUAUCAGGAGGAACACCGAUGGCGAAGGCAGAUCUCUGGGCCGUAACUGACGCUGAGGAGCGAAAGGGUGGGGAGCAAACAGGCUUAGAUACCCUGGUAGUCCACCCCGUAAACGUUGGGAACUAGUUGUGGGGACCAUUCCACGGUUUCCGUGACGCAGCUAACGCAUUAAGUUCCCCGCCUGGGGAGUACGGCCGCAAGGCUAAAACUCAAAGGAAUUGACGGGGACCCGCACAAGCGGCGGAGCAUGCGGAUUAAUUCGAUGCAACGCGAAG